CCACAUACUGUGGUGAUCUGCUCCCCUGGAAACCCUUAUCAUAAAAAGCAAUCACUGUAAAGGUCAAACAACUUCCUCCUGUUCCCUUUAUAAGCUGUUCUGAAACAUCAAACCUCUGAGCUUCAUACUUGUUCUAGAAGUAGGAAGGAAAGAGCGAUGAAGAACAUCAACGCUGGUUGAGUAAGUGGUGCUUGCACUGGCGGAUCCCAUUCUGCUCAAUGAUUUCUGACGGAUCUGGGAUCCCAGCUCUGUUCCCUUUGUGUUCUGCUCUCCGAUUUCAUCAAGGGACCUUUAUGGAAGCUUCUUGGUAAGUCACCCUACUCAACUCAAAAGGUAAGAAGCUUCUAAGUAGUUCCUUUUGUUUUGAAACUGCUGUGGGAAACCUGGCUGACAGAAUUAAGAUGUCUUAGGGAAUUCAAAGGCAAAUAUGGGUGCCACACGGUCCAAAAGUGGAACCAGGAUCUUGUGCCUUUUGGGGGAAUGGGUUAACUGUUGGACUAUUUGUGAUGAAAUAAAGUCUGUAUUUUCAACCAGCACAAGAAAAUGUGAACUUAAAAUUCUCUCUCUCCUUAGCACCCCCCAUUCAGCCUCCUCCCUGCCUCCCUAAUGUGCAGUAUGCCUGUGCAUCACAUGUCAACCAGACCUCCUCAGAAAUGGGAAUCCCUGCUCUAUUGCAAAGAUUAUUUUUCUCCUUUACCUGCCCCAAAGCCAGCAAUGUAACUUCUUCAAGAUUGGCACUUUCCCAACUCGGAGGGGGGUGCGCCCGCGGGCGGGGGGGGGGGGGGGGGGUCCACAGUGACAUACAGCUUGCUUUGUGUGUGUUUACCUGGACAUUGUAUCUUUAGUGAACUUUAUGUAACAUGUCAGCAUGUUAUUUUGAUGUAAGAUCCUUUGGAAAAUGUAUAUGACUGUGCCUUUGAUUACAGGAGGAACAGUUCUCAGAGCUUCUAAGAAUCAUCUCCUGGAUUACAAUCUUCACUUUGGCUUGAAUAAAAUUCCCUUUUGCUUCUUAACUUGAUCCGUUAAAUUUCCAUCAUUUGCUUGGCAUGGUGGGCAGGAUAUCAGAGACACGCACCAGUGAACACCUGGAGUCUGCUCUGAACCUGUACUUGGUACCAGCUGGGCCCUUUGAGCCCCACCAGCUUCUUGGUAUUCCUCCUUCCUUCGGAAUGACCAACAAGAAGCUCCUAUUGACAAAGCUGAUCUAAUUUGAUUUACUGAUGGUUCCUACUUAAAGGAUGAGCAGAGGCAUUAUAGAGCUGGGUAUGAAAUAACAUCCACAGUGAACAUAAAUGAGAGUUCUUAUUUACCAGAAACAAAGUCCACACAACAAGCCAAAUCAAUUGCCUUAACCUGAGCUUUUUAACUGGCUAAAGACCAGCUAGUGAAUAUUUAUACUGACAGCUGCAAUGUCUCACACAAAAAGAAAUAUUCUGCUCUAAUGAAAAUUUAUAAAUGGGAGGGAGAGGAAUGGUGCAAAUCAACAUGUAUCAUUCUGAUGAACAAUUGUAAAUGUGAAAAAAGCAGUGCAGAUCAAAAUGGAAAUAUACUGUUAUGAUGAGAAACUGUACUGGGAGGAAAACAAACUUUCAAAAAAAGAACCAAAAAAAAUCAUUCCAAUGAAAUAUUGUAAAUGAUGGGAAUGUGGUGCAAAUCAGAAUAUAUACCUCCGAUGAAAAAAAAAGUACUGGAAAGAAAAUACACCCCAAAAGAAAAAAAAAAAGACACAAAAAACAAGUAUAUCGUUAUAAUGAAAAUUUCUUAAGGAGGGGAACAAUACAAAUAGAAAUAUAUGAUUCGAUCUCUUUUUAAAAAUAUAUUGUUAUGAUGAAAAAAUAUAAUGGGAGGAAAACAAACCAAAACCAGAAAAAAAAAUUAACUGAGAUAAAUCAUUCUAAUGAAAAAUUGUAAAUGGAAAAAAGGUACAGGAAGUUAGGAAACGAAUCUGACUACCGUCCUUGAGGACAAAGGUUCUAUCCCCUGCUUAGAUCAGCGCUUUAAGGAUCCUCCGUUGCCAGGAGCUGUGGUGUACAUUGCAGAUGCAGCACUGAUCCCGAGUCGCUGUGACUGUAGUAUAGGCCAGCAGCUACAGCACAGUUUCCACCCCUAGCCUAGGCACCUCCAUAUUCCAUGGGUAUGGCCCUAUAAGACCGGUGUGUGUGCGUGUGUGUGUGUGUGUGUGCAAGCGCGCGCGCAUAUAUAAACAUAUCCUUCUGAAGAAAAACUAUAAUGGGGGGGAAAGAAACCCCAGAAAAAGGCACGAAAAAGUGAAAUACAUCGAUAUGAUGAAAACUUGUAAAUGGGGUGUGUGGUGAGGGAAUGAUGAAAUCGAAAUACCGUGGUGGUGGAAAAAAACCGAGAUACACCCGAGAAGAAUCCUUGCAGUGAGAUAUUGUAAACAGCGGGGAAAAGCGGUGCAAAUCAGAACAGAAAUAUAUCGUUCUGAUGAUAAGCAUUACUGGGGGGAAAAGAAACCCCAGAAAAAGGCACGACAAAGUGAAAUACAUCGAUAUGAUGAAAACUUGUAAAUGGGGUGUGUGGUGAGGGAAUGAUGAAAUCGAAAUACCGUGGUGGUGGAAAAAAACCGAGAUACACCCGAGAAGAAUCCUUGCAGUGAGAUAUUGUAAACAGCGGGGAAAAGCGGUGCAAAUCAGAACAGAAAUAUAUCGUUGUGAUGAUAAGCAUUACUGGGGGGAAAAGAAACCCCAGAAAAGGGCACGACAAAGUGAAAUACAUCGAUAUGAUGAAAACUUGUAAAUGGGGUGUGUGGUGAGGGAAUGAUGAAAUCGAAAUACCGUGGUGGUGGAAAAAAACCGAGAUACACCCGAGAAGAAUCCUUGCAGUGAGAUAUUGUAAACAGCGGGGAAAAGCGGUGCAAAUCAGAACAGAAAUAUAUCGUUCUGAUGAUAAGCAUUACUGGGGGGAAAAGAAACCCCAGAAAAGGGCACGACAAAGUGAAAUACAUCGAUAUGAUGAAAACUUGUAAAUGGGGUGUGUGGUGAGGGAAUGAUGAAAUCGAAAUACCGUGGUGGUGGAAAAAAACCGAGAUACACCCGAGAAGAAUCCUUGCAGUGAGAUAUUGUAAACAGCGGGGAAAAGCGGUGCAAAUCAGAACAGAAAUAUAUCGUUCUGAUGAUAAGCAUUACUGGGGGGAAAAGAAACCCCAGAAAAAGGCACGACAAAGUGAAAUACAUCGAUAUGAUGAAAACUUGUAAAUGGGGUGUGUGGUGAGGGAAUGAUGAAAUCGAAAUACCGUGGUGGUGGAAAAAAACCGAGAUACACCCGAGAAGAAUCCUUGCAGUGAGAUAUUGUAAACAGCGGGGAAAAGCGGUGCAAAUCAGAACAGAAAUAUAUCGUUCUGAUGAUAAGCAUUACUGGGGGGAAAAGAAACCCCAGAAAAGGGCACGACAAAGUGAAAUACAUCGAUAUGAUGAAAACUUGUAAAUGGGGUGUGUGGUGAGGGAAUGAUGAAAUCGAAAUACCGUGGUGGUGGAAAAAAACCGAGAUACACCCGAGAAGAAUCCUUGCAGUGAGAUAUUGUAAACAGCGGGGAAAAGCGGUGCAAAUCAGAACAGAAAUAUAUCGUUCUGAUGAUAAGCAUUACUGGGGGGAAAAGAAACCCCAGAAAAGGGCACGACAAAGUGAAAUACAUCGAUAUGAUGAAAACUUGUAAAUGGGGUGUGUGGUGAGGGAAUGAUGAAAUCGAAAUACCGUGGUGGUGGAAAAAAACCGAGAUACACCCGAGAAGAAUCCUUGCAGUGAGAUAUUGUAAACAGCGGGGAAAAGCGGUGCAAAUCAGAACAGAAAUAUAUCGUUCUGAUGAUAAGCAUUACUGGGGGGAAAAGAAACCCCAGAAAAAGGCACGACAAAGUGAAAUACAUCGAUAUGAUGAAAACUUGUAAAUGGGGUGUGUGGUGAGGGAAUGAUGAAAUCGAAAUACCGUGGUGGUGGAAAAAAACCGAGAUACACCCGAGAAGAAUCCUUGCAGUGAGAUAUUGUAAACAGCGGGGAAAAGCGGUGCAAAUCAGAACAGA